rnacentral:rRNA from 1 species
GAUGAACGCUGGCGGCGUGCCUAAUACAUGCAAGUCGAACGCUGAAGGGGGGGCUUGCUCUUCUGGAUGAGUGGCGCACGGGUGAGUAAAGCGUAGGUAACCUGCCUGUUAGCGAGGGAUAACUAUUGGAAACGCUAGAUAAUACCGCAUGACAACAGUUAAUGCAUGAUAAUUGUUUAAAAGGGGCAACUGUUCCACUACCUGAUGGACCUCCGUUGUAUUAUCUAGUUGGUGAGGUAACGGCUCACCAAGGCGACGAUACAUAGCCGACCUGGGAGGGGGGACGGCCACCCUGGGACUGGGACACCGCCCAGGCCCCUUCGGGAGGCAGCAGUAGGGAAUCUUCGGCAAUGGACGGAAGGCUGACCGAGCAACGCCGCGUGAGUGAAGAAGGUUUUCGGAUCGGAAAGCUCUGUUGUAUAGGAAGAACGAGUGUGAUAGUGGAAAGUGCACACCGUGACGGUAUCUUACCAGAAAGGGACGGCUAACUACGUG